UAAAAAUUUGAAGGGAGGAAUGCACUUUGGUUAGAGAUUUUCAUUUGGUGUCAAACGCACCUAGUUGUAAACAAAUGGAAAUUGAAAGUAAAAGUGCAACGGCACGGUAUAUUUUUUCUGGCAUUUUUUGUUUUCCAAUAUCUCGAACUUUCACGACAAAAAGGUCAUUUGCCAGAAAUUCAAUACAUGUAUCAGUGAGAGGGGCUAAAGUUUGUAUGGAAGUCUAUGGGAAAACAUUUGGUGGUGUUUGUCCUAUAGAAUAGCAAUGCAUUAUCAAGAAGGAAGAGAUUAAUGAACCCUACCCUCUUACAAUGAACAACACAUGGACACUCUCGGGAUGAUCCCUUUGCUUUCAUUAAGAGUUCCAAGAUGUUGGUCUGAUUGACUGGGGUGUGAAAUGUAACAGCCAAUGGUAUACUUAAGCUAAGACUGUCAGUC